rnacentral:lncRNA from 1 species
CUGGAAGCGAGACGCAGGAGGCAUUCGCCCUUACAAGCCAGGACUUGACUCAGUCACCGAAAGGAUGGCAAACUCCGGCUGGAAAUAGAAGCCAAAGGAAUUUUGCCCCAGAGAAGGCAGCUGGAUGCAGUCCCACAUUUCCAGUCUCUUGAAGAUGCCAGAAGGGGUGCUUGAAGGUCCUGUGCUGGCUGGGAGAACUGCCUGGAGAAACAGCUGCUCUUGUCCUCUGCACCCUUGGGUGAUGCCACCACCCUUUAGCCCGGGCUCCUGAGGAAGGCAAGCUGAUAAGGAAGGAGAGAGAGACACAACAAGAUUUUGGGAGACAAGUCAGAGAUCCUGGAGCCUGGAAGUGGAGUUAGUCCCUGAACAGAGCCUUGCCAAGACUCUCAGCAUCCCUCAGACACAUCCAAACCCCUCCAGCUGCUGAGAGGGGCUCCUGCUCCUUGGGGAGACCCUGCAUGCAGGAACCAGCAAAGCUCCAGGACAAGCCACUUCUGCCAGUGCUGCAGAUUCAAACUGCCUUGUUUUGUUUCCCAGCAGCAUUUAACAGGCUGCUGAUGUUUGUUUAUGAAGUGAGAUGCACAUGAUUUAUUUGAUCUGCUGGAGAGCUGCAUUCCCACGCCAAGGACAGGCAGAGACGUUGCAUUCUCCCCUCUUUUGGGGACUGCUUAGAUCAAAUCCUCCCUUGCACAGGCAGAGCUGCACUCUCAGCU